rnacentral:rRNA from 1 species
UGUCAGUCGAUCUUCUUUAUGGAGAUCGGCCAAACAUCAACCAUAUCUUUUAACUCUUUGUCUGAAAAAUAUUAUGAAUAAACAAUUCAAAAUACAACUUUCAACAACGGAUCUCUUGGCUCUCGCAUCGAUGAAGAACGCAGCGAAAUGCGAUACGUAAUGUGAAUUGCAGAAUUCAGUGAAUCAUCGAAUCUUUGAACGCAUAUUGCGCUCUUUGGUAUUCCGAAGAGCAUGCUUGUUUGAGUAUCAGUAAACACCUCAAAGCUUUUGAUUUUUUUUGAAAGCUUUGGACUUGAGCAAUCCCAACACCAAUCUUUUUUAGAUUGGAGGCGGGUUGCUUGAAAUGCAGGUGCAGCUGGACAUUCUCCUGAGCUAAAAGCAUAUUCAUUUAGUCCCGUCAAACGGAUUAUUACUUUUGCUGCAGCUAACAUAAAGGGAGUUUGACCGUAUUGGCUGACUGAUGCAGGAUUUCACAGGGGUCGGCAACGACGCUUGUUAAACUCGAUCUCAAAUCAAGUAAGACUACCCGCUGAACUUAAGCAUAUCAAU